rnacentral:rRNA from 1 species
GAUGAACGCUGGCGGCGUGCUUAACACAUGCAAGUCGAACGAACCUUCGGGUUAGUGGCGGACGGGUGAGUAACGCGUGAGAAUCUGCCCUCAGGAGGGGGAUAACGGCUGGAAACGGCCGCUAAUACCCCAUAUGCCGAGAGGUGAAAUGAAUUUCGCCUGAGGAUGAGCUCGCGUCUGAUUAGCUAGUUGGUGUGGUAAAGGCUCACCAAGGCAUCGAUCAGUAGCUGGUCUGAGAGGAUGAUCAGCCACACUGGGACUGAGACACGGCCCAGACUCCUACGGGAGGCAGCAGUGGGGAAUUUUCCGCAAUGGGCGCAAGCCUGACGGAGCAACGCCGCGUGAGGGAUGAAGGCCUCUGGGCUGUAAACCUCUUUUAUCAAGGAAGAAGAUCUGACGGUACUUGAUGAAUAAGCCACGGCUAAUUCCGUGCCAGCAGCCGCGGUAAUACGGGAGUGGCAAGCGUUAUCC